rnacentral:rRNA from 1 species
CGAACGGGUGAGUAAUACAUCGGAACGUGUCCGCUCGUCGGGGGGACAAACCAGCCGAAAGGUUGGCUAAUACCGCAUGAGGUUCUACGGAAGAAAGAGGGGGAACCCCGCAAGGGCCUCUCGCGAGCGGAGCGGCCGAUGACUGAUUAGCCGGUUGGUGAGGUAACGGCUCACCAAAGCAACGAUCAGUAGCUGGUCUGAGAGGACGACCAGCCACACUGGGACUGAGACACGGCCCAGACUCCUACGGGAGGCAGCAG